AACGAACGCUGGCGGCAUGCCUAACACAUGCAAGUCGAACGAGACCUUCGGGUCUAGUGGCGCACGGGUGCGUAACGCGUGGGAACCUGCCCUUAGGUUCGGAAUAACUCCCCGAAAGGGGUGCUAAUACCGGAUAAUGUCUUCGGACCAAAGAUUUAUCGCCUUUGGAUGGGCCCGCGUUGGAUUAGCUAGUUGGUAGGGUAAAAGCCUACCAAGGCGACGAUCCAUAGCUGGUCUGAGAGGAUGAUCAGCCACACUGGGACUGAGACACGGCCCAGACUCCUACGGGAGGCAGCAGUGGGGAAUAUUGGACACGGGGCGAAGGCGUGAUCAAGCCAUGCCGGGUGAGUGAUGAAGGCCUUAGGGUUGUAAAGCUCUUUUACCCGGGAUGAUAAUGACAGUACCGGGAGAAUAAGCUCCGGCUAACUCCGUG
rnacentral:rRNA from 1 species